UACCCGCUGAACUUAAGCAUAUCAAUAAGCGGAGGAAAAGAAACCAACAGGGAUUGCCCUAGUAACGGCGAGUGAAGCGGCAACAGCUCAAAUUUGAAAUCUGGCUCUUUCAGGGUCCGAGUUGUAAUUUGCAGAGGGCGCUUUGGCUUUGGCAGCGGUCCAAGUUCCUUGGAACAGGACGUCACAGAGGGUGAGAAUCCCGUACGUGGUCGCUAGCUAUUGCCGUGUAAAGCCCCUUCGACGAGUCGAGUUGUUUGGGAAUGCAGCUCUAAAUGGGAGGUAAAUUUCUUCUAAAGCUAAAUACUGGCCAGAGACCGAUAGCGCACAAGUAGAGUGAUCGAAAGAUGAAAAGCACUUUGGAAAGAGAGUCAAACAGCACGUGAAAUUGUUGAAAGGGAAGCGCUUGCAGCCAGACUUGCUUGCAGUUGCUCAUCCGGACUUUUGUCCGGUGCACUCUUCUGCAGGCAGGCCAGCAUCAGUUUGGGCGGUGGGAUAAAGGUCUCUGUCACGUACCUCUCUUCGGGGAGGCCUUAUAGGGGAGACGACAUACCACCAGCCUGGACUGAGGUCCGCGCAUUUGCUAGGAUGCUGGCGUAAUGGCUGUAAGCGGCCCGUCUUGAAACACGGACCAAGGAGUCUAACAUCUAUGCGAGUGUUUGGGUGUCAAGCCCGAACGCGUAAUGAAAGUGAACGGAGGUGGGAACCCGCAAGGGUGCACCAUCGACCGAUCCUGAUGUCUUCGGAAGGAUUUGAGUAAGAGCAUGGCUGUUGGGACCCGAAAGAUGGUGAACUAUGCUUGAAUAGGGUGAAGCCAGAGGAAACUCUGGUGGAGGCUCGCAGCGGUUCUGACGUGCAAAUCGAUCGUCAAAUUUGGGCAUAGGGGCGAAAGACUAAUCGAACUAUCUAGUAGCUGGUUCCUGCCGAAGUUUCCCUCAGGAUAGCAGUAACGUAUUCAGUUUUAUGAGGUAAAGCGAAUGAUUAGAGGCCUGGGGGUUGAAACAACCUUCACCUAUUCUCAAACUUUAAAUAUGUAAGAAGUGUUUGUUACUUAAUUGAACGUACACAUUUGAAUGAAACGUUAUUAG
rnacentral:rRNA from 2 species